CACGACCGUCUACAGUGGCCUAUGGACAACAAAAUGUUAUGAGCGUAGAUAAUGCAAGUUGGAGAAAAAGACUUUACUAUGGAGGAUGAUAGAUGACAGAGUGGGGACCCUGGCCCAGGUCAGAGUGAACGAGUCGGUCCAUUGACGCAGAUCAGCACAGUGCACAACGGUCUAUGGGAUCGGAUCAUCAAUUCAACAUGACUUUCCACUCAAGAAUCAAUAACCGAAUCAACGACUUCAAUGGUUUUGAAAACACACAGCCAGUCUUUUAAACACUGGUUUCCUAGGAAAAUUUGGGUUUAUGGAGAAAAUGCAGAGGAC